ACACUAAAGAAAGUUUAUUUCUUUAACUACCUCGAUGGCUACACUCCAAACCUCUCCAUUGAACGUUCACUUGCUAAGCUCACAUUUCCUUCUCUUUCCUCUUUCUUCUUUUUCCAUGGCUUCCCAGUUGUCUUUGCAACUUCCACAAUUCUUUUACUACUCAAAAUCGGUUGGACUUGACAAUAGAGGAAAGGCCAUGGCAAAUGCACCUCACUCGUUGAAUUUCAAACCCAAGGAGCAAGGAACAUGUGACCUUUCAAAGAAAAACUACUCACGAUGGUUUUCUUCGUGGAUGUUAUUGUCAACGGCUUCUUCUCAUUCUAAUCAAACCAAUAGUGAGAAUGGUGUUCCUGUGGCUAACCAUCGAAGUCCUGAGUUGGGAUUUAAUCGGGUGAAUGGUCUUGUGUAUUGCAUGAAUCUGCUAGGAGUUUUUCCUGUGCAGUUGAAUCACUUCAGUUGUCAGGAAUGGGUCCGGCACUAGCAAUGGCCUGGAUUGGGAAGGAUGUCCAUGACUGGCAUAAACGUCUUGCUUAUCAGCUUGUCCCCCAAGGUAAAAUUGUUUGGGGUGUAUAUUGAAAGUGAACUGAACACAAGGCACACAGGAUUGGUAGAAUGGUUUAAAGAGGUUGAGCUUCCGCAUAUAGCAGGAUUUUUUCUUCCUUUGUUAAAGAACUGGUCUAUGGAAUAUGAAGGAAGUGGUGUUGCAGGGAUCAUUGUGGUUCUAAGCUGCUGUACUGCAGUAGGAAAAUUGUGUUAUAGGCGCACUUGCUGUCCCUUUACAUUGUCGAUUGAGGAUGCGCUAGUAGAGCUCAUGGAUCUUUCACACAGUCUUGUGCCAGUGGACAAAUUACAUCAGUUAGCCACUGAAGCAGGAUUUGAAAUGGACCUGCUGACCCAUUUUGGUACAAAGGUUUUCCCCAGCAAGAGAAGCGAAGAGCUAGGAUUUUGGAUUGGGUUGGCUCAGAAAAAAAUUUCAGUAGCAUUCCAGAAAGAAAAUUUGUUUUCAGGCAGGCAAAUCUGCUACAAGGUCCAUUCAUGAAAUAAUUUCCUUAUCUUUUCUAUAGAAAUGACAGUCUUAAGGAAUUACACAUCAUUUCACGUGACUCUAGACAUAAGCAAAAAUACUCCUAUCAUUCCAAUUCCUAAUUUCCCGAAGGAAACUUUGUUUAUAUAACUGAAAAAUAUACAUUUUUUAUAUAAUACACCAAAAAGAAUUCUUUGUCAAGUUCCAAAAAUUCAAGGACCUUGCUUGAUGGUUGAUUUGGUCAGAGCUUUGAUAAGCUUAUACUUUCUUUCUGGUUUUAUUGCUUAUCAAAAAAAUAAAAAGAAUUUCUUUCUGGCUUAGCAACUGUACCUUUAGGAUUAAAUAGUUUAUCUCUGUUGCAAAAUUUGACAGGUUCAAGCAGAUAGUUUCACUACUUUAGGAAUUUUUGCAUAUCUUGGAAAGAGUACUAGAUUGUUCUUGUCAACAAUGGGCAUAAAGGAUCUGGAUGAACAUGUUAAAGACUUCCUUAGGUAGAUUAGUUCACAUUUUGGUUACAUUCUCAACAUUUCAGGCCUUAAAUAGGGAUACUUUAGGAGGUCCAAUACUUUUCCUGCAGCUACUUGGAAUGUGGUAGCCUUUUCAUUUACCCAGAGCUUCCUUCCAUAUCAGUGUAUCAAAUCUUCAUGGAGGUAGUAAUUGAUGAAAUUGGAUUGUUUGAUUUUUACGCUGCAUUUUCUUACAUAUGCAAUCAAGAGCGAAGAAGAUCCAGACAGUAUCCCAUCCAAGCAGAGAAAGAGAUAAUUUUAACUACAGUUUUUACUGUAUGCUAUGAUGUUUUCUCUGGGUUUGCUCACUUCAGCCGUUCUACUCUACUGCCACUAGACACAAAUUUGCUAGAAUUCUUGCUGCGGAGUCAGAGCCUGUUAACUGUCUGUUUGGAAGACUACCGGGCAGCUUAUGAUAAGCCAUGCAGUGAACCCUUAAAGUUUUCAGAAACAGGUUCCUCUGAUGCCACUUCAUUUUUACGAUCUAGGGGAACAAUUAAGUCAUUUGUAGUCUUGGGAGCACAACGAAAUCCAAAUGACUUAAGGGCACAGGGAUGCACAGCGAAUGACACUCAACAUGGAUCUAAACUGAAAAAACUGGAUACCAUAUCAGCUGGGUAUGUGGAGGGAGCCUUUGCUGCUAAGUCAAUUCCUCAUCAUGAGAGUUUAAUUAGGAAAUACAGUAUCAAGUUGGCAUCUGCAAGCUCUGAUAUCUGGAUGGGUACACAAUUGCUUUUCACAGACAUCAGGGUUGCUGCAGAGCUACUCGUAAAUCAAUUGCGUGCUUACCAGGUCGCAGAGAGGGAAAGAAAGAAGUUAAGAAGAACUUUAAAUGACAUUUCUUUACUUAUUCCAGUAACAAUUAUAAUGCUACUUCCUGUAAGCACUUAUUGGAUCACUUUUCUUUCAAUAGUUAUUUAUUUAUUUUUUAUCACUGACUCAAGAACAUACCUUCUUGUGUAUGAGUAUGACCUUUAAUGAGUUUAGCAUUCUGAAAUUGGACCAACCAAUAAAUAUAGCAACUUUAUUCUGACGUAAUAGUUUGUGAACUCAGACUAACAAUUACAAAGUUUAAACAAGCUUCACCAAAGUCACAAGAGUAGGAAACUUUUUCAAAGAACCUGAUUUAAUGAUGACAUACUUUCAUCCAUCUUUACAUGCCAAAUUUUCUUGUUUCCCAUUGUUUAGCUUUUAUCCAGUUAAAUGCAUCAAGACCAAUUACAGUAUUCCUUAUUGUACCAAGAGCGAAAUCAUUGUCUAUCCAGAUGAAGGUUUAUUAAAUUAGUUUAUUCUUUUAAUGUAGCACUUAUAAAUGAUGAAAGUGCCCCUUGUUCACAAUGAGGAACAGCUGUAAGUCUCUAACCAGAGACAGUAAGAUGAAUAAAAAGUUCAAUAAUUGAAACAUAAUUAGGUUUAUUAACUUGUUCAUCGUGAUACAAUUUGUUUUGUUUUGUUUUUUUGUUUUUUAUUUAUUUUUUCAAUCAUUUAUAGUUCUUUAUUGAAGCUAACUCUUUUUUUCUCUCAUGUAUAAUAUGCACUUGGGUGUCAAGGUGACCUAUUAAUAGGGUUAAACAAAAGCAGAGUUUUUGUAAGAAACUCUAACAGAUUCAUAACGAAGUUGACAAAUUUGCUCUCCCUUCUACGAGCAGGUAUCUGCUAUAGGUCACGCAGCCAUUCUAGCAGCAAUCAAAAAAUUCCUUCUCCAUAUUCUUCUGAGCGAUUGGAUGUUGUGAAACAACUAAAAAGAACUAAGAAGAUGGAAGUUCAGUCAUGGAGCAACCUUGAAGAUCC